rnacentral:rRNA from 1 species
GAUGAACGCUGGCGGCGUGCCUAAUACAUGCAAGUCGAGCGAACAGACGAGGAGCUUGCUCCUCUCACGUUAGCGGCGGACGUGUGAGUAACACGUGGGUAACCGACCUAUAAGACUGGGAUAACUUCGGGAAACCGGAGCUAAUACCGGGUAGUAUAUUGAACCGCAUGGUUCAAUCGUGAAAGACGGUUUUGCUGUCCCUUAUAGAUGGAUCCCCACCGAAUUAGCUAGUUGGUAAGGUAACGGGUUCCCAAGGGAACGAUGGGUAGCCGACCUGAGAGGGGGACCGGCCACCAUGGGACUGAGACACGGCCCAGAAUCCACAGGGAGGGAGCAGUGGGGAAUUUUGGACAAUUGGCGAAAGCCUGAUCGAGCCAAGCCGCGGGCGGGAAGAAGGCCUUCGGGUUGGAAAACCCUUUUUAUAGGGAAAAAAAAAUUCUGACUAAUACCUGGGACGCUUGACGGGACCUUAAGAAAAAGCACCGGCUAACUACGUG